rnacentral:rRNA from 1 species
AACGAACGCUGGCGGCAUGCCUAACACAUGCAAGUCGAACGAGAUCUUCGGGUCUAGCGGCGCACGGGUGCGUAACGCGUGGGAAUCUGCCCUUUGGUUCGGGAUAACAGUUGGAAACGACUGCUAAUACCGGAUGAUGACGAAAGUCCAAAGAUUUAUCGCCAGAGGAUGAGCCCGCGUAGGAUUAGCUAGUUGGUGUGGUAAAGGCGCACCAAGGCGACGAUCCUUAGCUGUCUGAGAGGAUGAUCAGCCACGCUGGGACUGAGACACGGCCCAGACUCCUACGGGAGGCAGCAGUGGGGAAUAUUGGACAAUGGGCGAAAGCCUGAUCCAGCAAUGCCGCGUGAGUGAUGAAGGCCUUAGGGUUGUAAAGCUCUUUUACCCGGGAUGAUAAUGACAGUACCGGGAGAAUAAGCUCCGGCUAACUCCGUGCCAGCCGCCGCGGUAA